AUUGAACGCUGGCGGCAUGCCUUACACAUGCAAGUCGAACGGUAACAGGUCUUCGGAUGCUGACGAGUGGCGAACGGGUGAGUAAUACAUCGGAACGUGCCUAGUAGUGGGGGAUAACUACUCGAAAGAGUGGCUAAUACCGCAUGAGAUCUACGGAUGAAAGCAGGGGAUCGCAAGACCUCGUGCUACUAGAGCGGCCGAUGGCAGAUUAGGUAGUUGGUGGGAUAAAAGCUUACCAAGCCGACGAUCUGUAGCUGGUCUGAGAGGACGAUCAGCCGAACUAGGACUGAGACACGGCCCAGACUCCUACGGGAGGCAGCAGUGGUGAAGUUUGGACAAUGGGCGAAAGCCUGAUCCAGCAAUGCCGCGUGCAGGAUGAAGGCCUUCGGGUUGUAAACUGCUUUUGUACGGAACGAAAAGCCCCGGGUUAAUACCCUGGGGUCAUGACGGUACCGUAAGAAUAAGCACCGGCUAACUACGUGCCAGCAGCCGCCGCGG
rnacentral:rRNA from 1 species